GAUGAACGCUGGCGGCGUGCCUAACACAUGCAAGUGGAGCGACGAACCCGGACUUGUCCGGGGGCAAAGCCGCGAACGGGUGAGUAACACGUGGAUUAUCUGCCCCAACGACCGGGGCAACUCGAGGAAACUCGAGCUAAUACCGGAUGUGCUCUUCGGAGGAAAGGAAGCUUCGGCCUCCGCAUUGGGAUGAGUCCGCGGUGCAUUAGCUAGUUGGUGGGGUAAAGGCCCACCAAGGCGACGAUGCAUAGCUGGUCUGAGAGGACGAUCAGCCACACUGGAACUGAGACACGGUCCAGACUCCUACGGGAGGCAGCAGUGGGGAAUCUUGCGCAAUGCACGAAAGUGUGACUCAGCAACGCCGCGUGCGGGAAGAAGGUCUUCGGAUCGUAAACCGCUUUCAGUUGGGACGAGGGUUACACGGUGAAUAGCCGGCGUAACUGACGGUACCUUCAGAAGAAGCCCCGGCUAACUACGUGCCAGCCGCCGCAGUAA
rnacentral:rRNA from 1 species